CCUCCUCUUCUUGCCUCCUCUCAGGCAUGUGGUCCCAAUCCCCGUAAUGUACGGAGGGGGAGGGAAAGGGCUCCAGCCCCCCAUGUCUUCGGUGCUGAUGGUUUUCAGUCCACCGGUUCUCUCCUCAAGUGCCGGGACACGG